CGUAACGCGUAUGCAACUUACCCAUUACUGGGGGAUAGCCCGGGGAAACUCGGAUUAAUACCCCAUAGUAUCAUAAAAUCGCAUGAUUUAAUGAUUAAAGAUUUAUCGGUAAUGGAUGGGCAUGCGUGUCAUUAGUUAGUUGGUGAGGUAACGGCUCACCAAGACUUCGAUGACUAGGGGGCCUGAGAGGGUGAUCCCCCACACUGGUACUGAGAUACGGACCAGACUCC
rnacentral:rRNA from 1 species